rnacentral:lncRNA from 1 species
AAGUUGUAUACGUUGUGUCCGAUCUUACUUUCCGCAGUAUCAACUUCCUGGGGAGAUCCUUCACAACAAGCAAUGGUAAAUAGUGGGAUCCUUUCAUCCAUUCCCAAUCGUGAUCAUUACUAUUUCUAACCUAUCAACACAGACUUGAAACACUCGCAGCAUAAUGUACCUUUAAACAGAAAAACCAAAUCUAGAAUGCACAAAAGUAAAAUAACAAAAUAACAAAAUAUUGAGAUAAAAUAACAAAAUACUGAAAAUAAAAUACCAAUAAAAGAC